ACCUCCUACUUCAGAGCAUUAAGGGAAAGAGACCCACACAGCCUGGUGCCUCGAGGGUAUUCACGAAACACUAGUUCCCAUUCAGUAGCUGUACCUCCAUCUUCACCUCUGCCACUUCUCCCUCAGGACACACCGGGUCAGCAGUCACAAGGCCUGGAGAAUAUAUGGGACAUCCUCUUUCUGCUAUUCUUGUGUUUUUCGGCUCAUCUUCACAAUCACCAUAAGAGGCAGUGAAGAGUCUAGGAUGCAAUCACCAUUUAGUGCAGCUGGUCUCAGUUUAUAGCAUGCUUUCUGCAAUAACAGUUGUAAAGAAAAACAAACAAACAUGGAAACCAUCUCUGCAUUGCUGGAGAGGGCAAUCAGAAUCUUCAGCAUUCCAGUCCUAAGUCCUUCUUACAGAGGGAAUGAUGAAGGAGGAUGUGGUGGAAUCACCUCCCCAGGAUGUCUGCUUUAAAUGGAAACCAGGAAACACAACAGAAAGAUGACUCGUCCUUCAAAAAAACUGCCAUG
rnacentral:lncRNA from 1 species